rnacentral:tRNA from 1 species
GAAAGAAUGUUACAAUGUUCAGAAUUCUGGUUUUGAAAGUCACAGGACUCAGAUUCAAAUCCUGAUUCUGUCA